rnacentral:lncRNA from 1 species
UGAAUGCCUAUAAAUUCCGUGGACCAUUGGAGGCUCAACACACUAGUGCUGAUUGCCUGCCUGAGAGUUGUUUGGACAUGGAAGGGGGAGAUCUACAUCCUGUAUUCUCCUCUUAAACUGAAAGCAGCUGGAUAGAUAUUGCUCACUGCAACCUGAAUUAAUUUACAAGUAUCUCAGUCCCUCCCUUCCUUCCCUGAAUUAUAGAAGGCAUCAUCCAAGAGACAAACCCACAUAUAUACACAUAUCUCAUUCUCUGGAGAUGACAUUCACAACUUAUUCUUCAAUUAUUAAAUCUGUAGCUGUAUAUAAUUUUCUGUUGGUUUGGUUGAUUUUGAUGUCCAUUAUCCCAUGUAUUUCUUUCCAAGUUUUUUUUAAAUUAGUAUGCUCAUGUUUUUAAUGGCAAUAUAGUGUUCCAUCAUAACCAAUAUUCCGCAAUUUGUUUAGCCAUUUACAUGUAAGUUCUUUUCCUUUUUCCUUGAUCUCUUUGCAAAAUAGACCCAACAAGAUAUUGCUUUGUCUAAGGAUAUACAUAGUUUUAUACCUCUGGGAAUAAUUCUAAAUUGUUCUCCAAAGUGUUUGGCUCACUUCACAGUUACACCAACAGUGUUUUAGGAUCCCCAUUUUUCUACCUUCUCUCCAAUGUUUGUAAUUUUGUUCUUUUUCCAUUUUAACCAAUCUGCUGGAAAAAGAUUAUAUCUCAGAAUGAAUUUGGUUUGUGUUUCUCUAAUCAGUAUUUAGAUUUAGAACAUCUUUCAUAUACUAACAUAUGGCUAUGCUUGUUUUUCUGAAAAUUAUCUUUUCAUAACUUUUGACCACUUAGCAAUUGGGUGAUGGUUCUUAUUCCUAUAAAAUUGACAGUGUUCUCUAUACAUUUUAGAUAUGAGACCUUUAUCUUAGAGUCUGUCUAUAAUUUUCCCCAAAUUUUUUUUCCAUCUAAUCUUGGCAACAUUUGUUUUUUAAAUUGAUCUAAUCAUAAUUAUCCAUUUUAUAUCUCACAACGCUGUCCUCUUCUUUGCUGAUAAAUUCCUUAAUAAAUCUGAUGUUAUGUGUUCUCUCA